rnacentral:lncRNA from 1 species
AGAGCCCCGGCUGGACACGCAGCGGCUCGCAUCGCAGAGCGCAGCGCCGGCGCGGGGCCGCGAGAACGCAGCGCAGGGGAGCAGCCCGAGGCGGACACCGCGAGCCGCCCGGCACUCCCGCAGUCCAGCCGGCUCCUCUAGCCCGGCCACGGCUCCGCUGCGGGCCACCCAGGAUUACUCGCGUCUGGCUCCAGGCGCCGAGAAGGCGCGCUGGGCGCCCGUGGCCGCCGCGCCAGCUCCUCCUCCUCCCGCUGCUCCUGCUCCCGGGGCGAGCGCGCAGCCCCGAGCCCGCCCCGCGCCUCCCGGAGCCAACCGCCUGCCAAUCAAGGUGCUGAAGAUGCUGACGGCACGAACUGGCCACAUUUUGCACCCCGAGUACCUGCAGCCCCUGCCUUCCACGCCGGUCAGCCCCAUCGAGCUCGAUGCCAAGAAGAGCCCGCUGGCGCUGUUGGCGCAAACAUGUUCGCAGAUCGGGAAGCCCGACCCCUCGCCCUCCUCCAAACUCUCCUCGGUUGCCUCCAACGGGGGCGGCGCGGGCGGUGCCGGCGGCGGUGCUGCGGGCGACAAGGACACCAAAUCGGGCCCCCUGAAGCUGAGCGACAUCGGCGUGGAGGACAAGUCGAGUUUCAAGCCGUACUCCAAACCCGGCUCGGAUAAGAAGGAGCCGGGAGGCGGCGGUGGAGGCGGUGGCGGUGGCGGGGGCGGCGGCGGGGGUGUUUCGUCGGAGAAGUCGGGAUUCCGGGUACCGAGCGCCACCUGCCAGCCAUUCACGCCCAGGACAGGCAGCCCGAGCUCCAGCGCCUCGGCCUGCUCGCCGGGAGGUAUGCUGUCCUCGGCCGGGGGUGCCCCGGAGGGCAAGGACGACAAGAAAGACACCGACGUGGGCGGCGGUGGCAAGGGCACCGGGGGCGCCUCGGCCGAAGGGGGACCCACGGGGCUGGCACACGGCCGGAUUAGCUGCGGCGGCGGGAUUAAUGUGGAUGUGAACCAGCAUCCGGAUGGGGGCCCGGGAGGCAAGGCUCUGGGCUCGGACUGCGGCGGUUCAUCGGGCUCCAGCUCCGGCUCCGGCCCCAGCGCGCCCACCUCCUCCUCAGUGUUGGGCUCUGGGCUGGUGGCUCCCGUGUCACCCUACAAGCCGGGCCAGACAGUGUUCCCUCUGCCUCCCGCGGGUAUGACCUACCCAGGCAGCCUGGCCGGGGCCUACGCCGGCUACCCGCCCCAGUUCCUGCCACACGGCGUGGCACUUGACCCCACCAAGCCGGGCAGCCUGGUGGGGGCGCAGCUGGCGGCGGCCGCGGCCGGGUCUCUGGGCUGCAGUAAGCCGGCCGGCUCCAGCCCUUUGGCCGGAGCGUCUCCGCCGUCCGUGAUGACAGCCAGUUUGUGCCGGGACCCUUACUGCCUCAGCUACCACUGCGCUAGCCACCUGGCAGGGGCGGCGGCCGCCAGCGCUUCUUGCGCACAUGAUCCGGCUGCUGCGGCUGCGGCGCUGAAGUCCGGAUACCCGCUGGUGUACCCCACGCACCCGCUGCACGGUGUGCACUCCUCGCUAACGGCCGCCGCGGCUGCUGGCGCCACACCGCCCUCCCUGGCCGGCCACCCCCUCUACCCCUACGGCUUUAUGCUCCCUAACGACCCACUCCCCCACAUCUGCAACUGGGUGUCGGCCAACGGGCCGUGCGACAAGCGCUUCGCCACGUCCGAAGAGCUGCUGAGCCACUUGCGGACCCAUACGGCAUUUCCCGGGACAGACAAACUGCUGUCGGGCUACCCCAGCUCGUCGUCUCUGGCCAGCGCUGCCGCGGCCGCCAUGGCUUGCCACAUGCACAUCCCCACCUCGGGCGCACCGGGCAGCCCUGGGACGCUGGCGCUGCGCAGCCCCCACCACGCGCUGGGACUCAGCAGCCGCUACCACCCCUACUCCAAGAGCCCGCUUCCCACGCCUGGCGCCCCCGUGCCGGUGCCCGCCGCCACCGGACCGUACUACUCCCCCUACGCCCUCUACGGACAGAGACUGACCACCGCCUCGGCGCUGGGGUAUCAGUGAGGGCGGCCGGGAGGGCGAGCGAGGGAGAGGAGGGAGAGGGGGAGGGGAGGAGUCCAGGGAGAGGCGGGAUCACGGCCCAGGCUGCUGACACCCGCGCGUGGGGAGGACUCGGGCCACGAAAGGAAAGAAAUGUAUACCGUAUCUAUCUACCCGACAGCAGCGACCGAGACCCGGUGGGACACUCCCCUUCUCCCCACUUUCACCUCCCCACCCAAACUUUAUAAAAGUUGAAAAAAUAUCAUUUGACUUUUUAUAGAAAAAAAAAGGAAAAAAUAAUUGAGAAAGUGUUCAUCUGAGGACUGCAUCGGUGGACACUGGUAUUUAUUUAUGUUAGCUCCAAGCGGACCGGUGGUUCAAAAGUGCAUUAUUUAGUUUGAGCUCUGUAGGUAAAAAGGAGGUGGGAAAAAUUUUAAAACUUGAGGGUAAAAAUGUGGAAAACAAACCCUCCCAUCCCUUGUAGAUUAUAAAUAAAAGCAAAACCGCCACAGAACUAGAGGUCUUCUCUUUAAUGUUACUUUAAAAUUGCUAUGAUUGUAUUGUACGUUAUUUAAUGUCUGAUUGAAACACAAAUUUACAUGCAUGUUUGUUACAAAAAAAAUGAAAAAAAAAGUCACAAUUUGUCAGCUCUGAUUUCAAAUUGCAAUUAUUUUUAAGGUGUAUACCAUCGAAGAGAAUGGGUAUUUUUUUGUAUGUAUUCUGGAAGAAAACAACAAAAAAAAAAAGAAAAAGAAAAAAUUCUAUUCCAAAACCUCAUUUGCCUUAUUUUGUUCUUUAAAAGGAACACUUAACUAUUUUUAAUUUUUAAGUCCACCCGCUGAGAAGGGGACAAGGUUUACGUCAUGUACUAAAAUAAUAGACAAUGUAUCGCUUUAAAGAUUAAAAUUCCGUAUAUUUGAUGUAUUAAAGGGUUUUACUUCUUCUUCUUAUCUUUUUUAUUUUGGUUAAAGAGAGCAUGGCAGUUUCGGCCGCAGUGGGUUCCGGGGCCUCACUGCUACUCCUUCUUCCCGGGACCGUGGCUGAAUUUCCGAUCGCUUUGUUGUGAUUUUCUGGGAGGCAAAGGCGUCGGAAGGGGCUACCAGCCGCGAAGUUGGCCUUGGGGAACAUAUUUUUAGAGGAUAUUUCACCAUUUGGAAAAUAGUGUCCUCCGCUAUCUAUCAUUUCGUUUUUAUUUCAAUUUUCUCUUGGCAGCUGGCUUGUUAAAAGUGAAAGGGGGUGUGGGGCGGGGGACAGGGUUUUUGUUAAAUUUCCCUCCUGAGCUUUUUGGGCAUUUGGGUUUCGUUUUGUGCAGAGUGGAGCAGGCCGGGACUCGCCGGCUGGGCCUGGGCCGGGGCCUCGGGGACGUGGGGCAGCGCGCUGGGGCAAGCCGAAUAGACUGGGAGGCGGAGGGGCGCUGGGGGAACCUGUGUCCCGGGCCUGGGGGGAGUACGCAGGGACCCUCUGGUCCCUAGGGGAGAGUGCGUCCUCUUUUCUUCUUCUGGCUGCCCAGGGCCUUCUAAACGCUCCCCGCAACCCUCGCCCUCACCCCCACCCCCACCCGCCCGCUCCUUCCUCCCUCCAGAGUCGGGACCCGGGGCUGGCCGGCGCCACCGCUGCUUUUCCCCGUCCGGGUGGCUCUGCAGCCGGCGCUCUAUUCCAUUCCGCGCCGCAGGAGAGCCCGCCCGGCCAGGACCCGGAAAGCCCCUCCAAGUGCGGCCCCGCGAGCGUCCCGGCGCCCAGGUCCGGCCUUUCUGGGGCUACCAGGUGGGCACCUAGGGCUCCGCUCUGCAGAAGCGCGGCGGGAGUCUGGGUCCGGGCGCAGCUCCCUGUGGCGCGGGCCGCUGUCUUCUCCCCAGCUUGGGCCGCAGGACAGAGCUGCCCGAAGCGCCGAAGGAAGCACGCAGAAAAAAGUCUCAGUCCCUUUUGGGGGGAGGGGGGCCGAGACCCAGCGCCCCCUCCCAGACGCUCCAGGCCUGGGCGCUAGCCCAGGUCCUCCGGCUAGUUGGGAGCUCUGAGCCCAGAGCGCCCUUUCCAAGGAUUCCGGGACCGUGGAGUCACAGCUCUGAGAGCGCACCCCAAACUCUCCGCUCCCUGGGGUCAGGCUCUUCCGGUUUCUCCGAGUCUCGGGAUCCCCUCGGCGCUCAGGUACCCCUGUUGCCUCUGGGGACUCACGGCCGCGCGAAGUCAGCCUUUGGCCUCUCGCCUGCGUCCGACAGCCCGCGGCCCCUGCCGCCAUUUGCACCGGGAUUGGUGACUUUGAGAUUUUCCACCCUCCUCCCAGCGCCAGCCUCACGGCUGCAGGGCCUUUACCCGGGUUGCACGCAAAGCCACCCCCAGCGACCUCCCGGACACUGCGGGAAGCGCGCGGGCCGCCUCCUGGAACUGACUUGGUGGGGACUCUGGCUCCGCCGCCGUCUCCACACCCCCGACCCUGAUGUCCGGACGUCGCGAGACCCCAGGAAACGGAGCUGGCGCCGAGGAGGACCCCUGGCCCGCAGCGUCUUCGGACGCCGCGGCCCCGGUCCCACUCUGGUCCCGCCGAGAGAGGCUGAGCUGGGCCUGGUUCCUUGAGAAUCCUGGCCGGCGGGCUUGUCGCCCCGGCCUCUUGGACAGACAUCCCCCGCCCUGCAGGUGGGAGGGCGGGAGCGCGUGGCGGUGCUGCAGCCGGGGUCCCACGCUCCGGUGCCCGCAGCUCAGGACCUGAAAGCCAGGCGUCUACCACUCUCUCACCAGCAGCGGCCACGCGCUCCUGGCCACUGCGACCCACAGGCUGUGCCUCUUUUCCCUAGCGUCUUCGGACAGGGGUCCCUGAGCGACCACACCUUGCCGGCCCGGAAGGACCUAGACAUUCCCCCGCCCUGGGAUUCAGGCUUGGGACCAGCAGGGAGACGAACCCGGGACGUUCGUGCCUUCAUGCCCCUUCUUGGUAUUUUAUCAACACAACCCAAAACCAAAGCCCCUUAAAAGUUUGAUGAAACUCCUUCCGGGAGCAGCUACACAGAGGCAGCAGCGUUCCGGCGCUGGGGCGCCCGGGGGUGAGGACAGAAAGGAUUCCCCGACGUGUUGGACGGAUCCGAGUCACCCCGGGCGCGCGGUAAGUGAAGGGUGGGUGCCAGUAUCUGCUGCGUGUCCAGGCCGAGGUGCGAGCCUCCUCGGAGGGACAAAUGCCCCUCCCCAAGGCGCGCCCCCCGACUCUCUCCAGCUUUUUCCCGAACAGCCGCGGGAUCCCCGGCGCGCCGGCUGGCGGCUGGAGCCCGGGCGGAGCGCCGCGUGUCCACCAGGCGGCGCUGCAGAGCCCGGCGGAGCAGGAAGGAGUCCUGGAACCCCGGCCAGCGCGCGGGCAGCCGGCUGGAUGGGCAUCCCGAGGCCCCGCGCUUCCACUUUCGCGUGGCUUUGGGAGCGGUGUCCAGGAGGCCCCUCCCUGUGACUCCUCGCUUCUUUUCUCCUGCUGCGAACCGUCUCCCCUGCUCUUCUCCACCCGCUCCAGCUUCUGCGCUUGUUUCCUCCUCGUUCUCUAUUCCUGUCCAGAGGAUUGGCCCACGUGUCUGUCCCUUCCCAACCUGGGGAGCUCCCACCCUCAAGGCUCUGAUACGUCACCUUGUCUGCCAUGCUGAAGCAGUCGCCACACAGGCCUGCAUUCAUUCACUCCCUCCUUCACUGAUGAUUUCCUAGCGCCCACUCCUUGCCAAGGGCUGCUCAUCCCAUUUACUCGUCCCUGACACAGUUUGAGAAACCGAGGCUAAGUCCUGGAGGCCAGUGGCAGGGCUGGCGGAUAAGGCCCAGGCCUUUCCCCCACCAUCCAAUCUUAUCCCCCUACCUGUGCCUCUGGUGGUGACACAGCGACCCUGGUGUCCUUGUGCUGGGUAACUCCGCAUAGAUGCAGAUCAGGGAGGUGUGCCUCCGAGAGAGCUGCUGAAGAAGGACCAGCUUCUGAAAUCUGCCACAAGCCUGUGGACCUCUGAGUAAGCACAACUAACACAAAUGCAGAUGCCUGUCAACACACGCACUCACUUGUUUCCACACUUUCACUCCUACUUCCACAGAAGCCACCCCCUGCUCUGACUCUGCCACACCUGGUCACGUGUGGCACACACUUAUGCUCCGACAGCAGACAGGAGAAGGAAAGAUGUGGGCUUGGUCUUUAAGCAGUGAGGAAAGGCAGAUAAAAAAGCCCCACUAGGUGAUGAACUUCUUGUGAUUUAGAAAACUCAUAAGGCUGCAGCUCCAGCAGCGCAAUCGGUUAGCACACAGUACUUACACAGAAGACUCGUAAAAGUUGCCCAGAAGGUGGGACUUAUCCCCUGUCAGGUCAUCGGCUGGCCUCUGCUGCACGUAUUGGCUUAGGGUUCCUCACCGAAUGUGGCUAGCAGCCUGGUGGUGCUUAGAGUGACUGGAAAACCCAGGCUGACCUGCUCACAUCUGUCACGGGCUAUGCCCAGCCCAUGGGAUCCUGUAUCAUCCCACUUACACUUCACAACAGUUCCAUGAGGUCAUUAGAAUCUUCACCCCAUUACUAGACUUAAUACCUGGAUGAUGAAAUAAUCUGUACAACACACCUCCAUGACACAAGUUUACCCAUGUAACAAACCUGCACUUGUACCCCUGAACUUAAAAGAAUCUUCACCUCGUUUUUCAGAUGAGGAGACUGAGGCUCAGCAGCGGAAAGACAGUGGCUUGAGGUACACAGCUAGUGAGAGAUGGCUAUAAGCAGGGAUUCUCACCUUGGCUGCUCUUGCCUGAUGAAGUUUUAAAGCAGAACAGUGCCUGGGAGCCAGAGAUGCUGUUCCAGCUAGAGGAGGGUGUGGUGAACGUAGCUGGGUUUUCAAAAAGGUUUUUGGUGUUAUUGUUAUUAUUUUAUUUUUUAAUGGGGAUUUUCUUUUUUCUUUUUUCUUUUUGUUUUAUUUUAUUUUUUUUGAGACAGAGUCUCGCUCUGUCACCCAGGCUGGAGUGCUGUGGCUUGAUCUCAGCUCAUUGCAACCUCUGCCUCCCGGGUUCAAGUGAUUCUCCCACCUCAGUCUCCUGAGUAGCUAAAAUUACAGACGUGCACCACCAUGCCCAGCUAAAUUUUUUGUAGUUUUAGUAAAGACAGGGUUUCACCAUGUUGGCCAGGCUGGUCUCAAACUCCUGACCUCAAGUGACUCCCACCUUAGCCUCUUAAAGUGCUGGGAUUACAGGCGUGAGCCACUAUGCCCAGCCUAUUUAUUAAUGGAGAUUUUUCAAACAGAGCAGUAGAAUGAAUAGUGUAAUGAACCCCCAUAAACCCAUCACCCAGCCUCAACAAUGAUCACCUCAUGGGCAACCUUAUUUCCUCGCUACCCCCUCCAACUCAUUAUUUUGAAAUAAUAAAGACACCAUUUCACCUCCUCAGUGCCUGUCACUUCCAGCUAGGGUUUCAACCUAUGCUUGGGUUGGCUCCCAAUCCAGGGCUCAUCCCGCUGCCCCACCUGGGUUGAGGCUCUGUGAACUAAAGCAUAUUACUCUCCAGUUCAUGCACAGUAUAGCUGGGAUUUGAACCUACUUCUUUCAGACCUGGAAGCCAAGCACUUAAUCCUACCCCAUGCUGGGAGUCCCCAAAACUCCCGAAGGUACUAAGGCCUCUAUGCCCAGUGUGACCCAGAGUGAGCCCAGGGGGUAUCUGGGCUAUUAAAAGACUCUAGCCCUGGCUAGGAAAUGCCUUAGUUGGGACACUCACAGUACAAGAAAUAUUCCUAGAGUGAGACCAGCAUAAAGCCACAUGGUGCAGUGGAAAAAGCACAGAUUUAGGUUCAGUCUAACCUAUCUUUUAGCUCCACCACUGACUCAUAUCUAAGGCUGAGUCUCUCUUGACCUCAGUUUUCUCAUCUAUGAAAUGGGGACAUUGAUACCAACCUAAUGGGGCUGUAGUGAGGCUCAAAUUAAGUAAUAAAUUUGAAAAUGGCCAACCUACUGCCUAGUUCAUACUGGUUCUUAGUAAAGACAAGUUUGUUUCUUUCUUUCCUUUCUCCCCAAAGUCUCAUUUCAUUUUGACCAGCCUUCUUGCUCAAGAACUUCCUGUGGCUCCCUGUGGCCCACUGGCUUAGAGCUUCACUCCACAAUCUGGCCAUCAGGGUGCCUGUAAUCAUGGUUCAUCCUCUGAUUUUGCCUGUUUGCCUGCUCUACCUCGUGUCUCACCAAUCUUCAGAGUUCAAAUCCUCUGCCAGCCAGCUAGCCCCCCAGCCCAUCCUCCAACACCCUGAUGGAUGGCACCCAUCAUACACUCCUUCCCUGGAAUGCCUUCCUUUUUCCCUUUCUACCAAAAUGCUCUCAAAAAUCUCCUCUUCCAGGAAGCCCUCUAGAUUUUCCCCCCACCACACACCGAUCUUUCCCUCACUUUGCAUUCCCUCAGCACUUAAUGCAAAGGCAGAGGGUAAAGAUAUAAAGGUCACUGUACCAGGGACCAGGACACUUGGGUUUGAGCAGUGCCUUUUUAUAGUUGUGUGACCAUGGACAAGUAAGUCACAUGUCCUCUGUGAAGCUUGUCUCCAAAACUGAUACAGGGCUGUGCCUACCAGGGUGAACAGCACAUUGCCAACAAGAAUAAUAUUAAAAAGUAGCAUGAACUGCACACUUACUAGUCCAUCCAUUCACUUAUUCAUGUUACUAUUACUGUCCCCAUUUUACAGGUGAUGAAGCCGAAUAAAGUAACACUGUGCUGGUCCCUGUGCCUGGGAUUUUGUCCUCCACCCUCUUUUCCUCAUUACCAGCAACACAAAAGUUCUACUUUAGAUCUCAGGCCAAGUGUGACCUCCUUCUGGAACGCCCCAGGCCCUUUUUAUCGGAUUUAAUGUCCUUUCCUUUGAUCUAUCCUGCCAUCAUAUUCUCUUUAUGUUGUCCAGAAAGCCUGGAUUCUGGGUUACUGGGGAGAAGGGAUUAUCUCCUAUACCUACUUCUAAUCAUGGCAGCUAGCACGGUACCUGGAACAUAGUAGGUGCUCAAUAAAUAUUAGAAGGAGGGAAGGAAAAGGAAGGAAAGAAGAGAGGGAGGGAGAGAGGAGAAAGCAGAGGAAAGAAAAAAAAACAAAAGACAGAAGGAGGACAAAUGUGCAUGAAUCGGGAACUCUUGGAUAAAAUUAUGCUUCCAAAGAAGGGAGGGUAGGAGAAAAAGUAGCAGUGGCCUUAGAGGAACUUUGAAUGUCUUUGCCUGAAGCUCAAAACUCAGGGCCAGGGGAGCUUCCAUGCAUCAGCUGGAAAUAGCAUUUGCUGACAAUAACAAAGACUCCUAAAUAGUGGCUUAUGGAAGAUAGAUAUUCUCCCAGACUAGAGGUGGGCAGUCCAGGCUUGGGGGAGCCCUCGGUCACCAAGAACCUAGGGUCCUUCUGUCUUCAGUUCUGCCAACCCAGGAAGCUUUCAUCCUUACGUCAUCUCUGAGUCCGAGAUGGCUGCUUGAGCUCAGGCACCAUCAGCUCAUUCCAAACCACAGGAAGAGGAACAAGAGGUAAAAGGGACCCUCUCCCUUUGAAUAGGUCUUCCUGGAUACCACACCGCUCCUCAGCCUGCACCUCAUUGUGUAGAGUUGAGUCACUUGGCCACAUAUAGCUGUAAGAGAGGCUGGGAAAUGUCAUGUUUAGUUGGGUACACUGCCACCUCAGAUAAACUCAAGGCUGCUAUGGACUGAAGUGUGUCCCCCAAAAAAUUCAUUUGAAGCUCUACACCCCAAUGUAACUGUAUUUGGAAAUAGGGCUGUUAGGAAGGUAAAGUUAAAUGAAGUCAUAAAGGUAGAACCUAAUCUGGGAGGAUUUGUGGCCUUCUAAGAAAAGGAAGAGACACCACCAACCUCCCACCCCCAACCAAUGCAUAGAAGACAGGCCAUGUAAGAAGGCAGCCAUCUAAAAACCAGGAAGAGAGCCCUCACCAGAAACAGAAUCAGCCAGCACCUUGAUCUUGGACUUCUGGCCUCCAGAACUGUGAGAAUAAAUUUCUGUUGUUUAAGCCUCUCAGUCUAUGGUAUUUUGUCUGGCAGCCCAAGUUGACUAACACAAAGGGCUUUGUUACUAAGAGGGGCAGGAGUAGGAAUAGAAUAUUGGCAGACUCCCCCGCACCCCACGAGUGGUGUCACCCAGAACCAGAGUCAAGAGAGAGCCCUCUUGUUGCCGACCUUUGGUGGGUCACAGGAUGGUGACUUCUGCCUUUUAAACACAAAUUCUUGUUGAUAAAGUGGGCAGGGGUGCUACUGGAGAAGCCCUCAGAAGUAGUAAUUCAGAGUUGGUGCAAUUCAGUUGAAUUUUAGGUGCCUAUCAAUGUACAAUGCAAUGAUGUAGAGUAGGAUUGGCCCUGAGGAGGAAGAGGAGGAUGAGAAGAAGGAGGAAGAGGGGGAGGGGGAGGAGGGAAGAAGAAAGAGGAGAAAAAGGAAGAGGAGGAGGGGGAGGAAGAGGAGGAAGAGGAGGGAGGAAGAACAAGGAAGUGAAGGAGGAGGAAGAGGAGGGGAAGAGGAAGAAGAAUUAUAUUGGGAAAGAGAGAUGGAAAUAAAGAGGAAGAAGAGGAAAAAAGGAGAAAAGCAAAGCUGGGUGGAAAGGCAGUAGCAUAUUAAACCUACCUGCCUCCUGCUUCCAUGUUACUGAUUAAAAAAAAAAAGAAAUCAUGCCUGUAAUCCCAGCACUUUGGGAGGCUGAGGCAGGCGGAUCACGAGGUCAGGAGAUCGAGACCAUCCUGGCUAACACAGUGAAACCCCGUCUCCACUAAAAAUACAAAAACAAAAUUAGCCGGGCGUGGUGGGGGGGUGCCUGUAGUCCCAGCUACUCUGGAGGCUGAGGUGAGAGAAUGGCGCGAACCCGGGAGGCAGAGCUUGCAGUGAGCGCAGAUCGCACCACUGCUCCCCAGCCUAGGCAACAGAGCGAGACUCCAUCUCAAAAAAUAAAAAUAAAAAACUGAAUACAGCCUCCAACCCAAAACGGAGGCAGACCUUGCCUUAAAUAAUUAUAGUGUAACUACAGAAACCUGAAAGAAACAAAAUCCAACCAUAAAGAAGACAAAUGGUGCCACUGAAUCUUAGCAACAUGUGAGUGAGUUUUGUUUUGUUUUGUUUGUUUGAGAUGGAGUCUCGUUUUGUCGCCCAGACUGGAGUGCAGUGGCAUGAUCUCAGCUCACUGCAACCUCUGCCUCCUGAGUUCCAGCGAUUCUCCUGCCUCAGCCUCCUGAGUAGUUGGGAUUACAGGCAUGCGCCACCACAUCCGGCUAUUUUUUGUAUUUUUAGUAGAGAUGGGGUUUCACCAUGUUGGCCAAGCUGGUCUCGAACUCCUGAUCUCAAGUCAUCUGCCUACCUCAGCCUCCCAAAGUGCUAGGAUUACAGACAUGAGCCACUGCGCCUGGCCCAUGUGAGCGACUUUUAACCCUACCUCUAGGCACCUACAAAGAGGUGGCCCAGCGGACACCUAUACUGGGUCCAAGAGGGCACUGGGAGGAGAGGGGGACUUGGAGAAGAGAAGAGGAGACCCCUGGGAAACUAGAGGGAGUAAGGAGAAUGCAGGAACCAGGAGGGGCACUGAGUAUGAAUGUGAGCCUUUUGGUUGUCCCGUUGCUGGAAGAUUCCUCCAGCCUUAGGUCUCAACAAGGAAGAGACAUCUCAGAAUUCUCGGCUGACUCUCUGUGUGUCUCUCCAUCUCUGCCAUUUUUCUUUCAUACACUUUACAAACAUCUCCUCUCCUCCAAAACCCUUCUGGGGCAAUUAGGCAAUUCCUAGGGUGUGGGAAUUCUACACGCUCCACAUCAGCAGUUCUUAAGCCUUUUGUGGGUUGAGGGAAGGAUGCAGAAACCUCAACCUUUUUUUGACAAUUAAUGAAAGCUGUGGCCCCUCUUUACAGAAAUGAGUCCACAUGCUUAAUGUGGGAAACUUAAUUUCAUGUAGUUCAUGGGCCUGCAGAUUUUAAAUCCUUGACCUUGAAGGAAAUCCAAGAUUUUAAAGAUAAAAAAGCAGGGCCUUUGGACAUGCCCUGAGGGGCUCUGGGUUUUCCUUUAUAAAUUAUUCUGACCAAUGAGACAUUCCAACUACUCUGUGUGAUCAACUGCAAUAAGUAACAUUUCUGUCAACCCACUACAGCCCAGUGUACACUUGUGCAACCUCACUGGAACUCUAUGAAGGAGGCACUAUCAUUAGCCCCACUUUAUGGAUGGGGAAACUGAGGCACAAAGCGGCAAAGUGACUUGCCCAAAACCACACAACCAAGAAGUAGCAGAGCUGGGAUUUGUUAUAGUGUAUGAGGCUCCAGGGUCUAUUAUUCUUGUGCCUUUCACUCUUUGCUACACUGCAUAGUGACCUUUAUUUCUCCGUACACUGAAGCCACAGAUACCUGCCUUUCUCCCCAAAUGCAGGUGUGAGACCUCACCCAGUGGUGUGCUGGAAUCAGCUCCUACUGGCUCCCAACAGCCAUAUGUGCACCAUUUACCAGCUCACCACUGGCCCCACCUGUUCUAGUCCAAAUGGCUGCAAACUGCAGAUCCAGCUGUCUAGGCCCCGAAUCAGUGGCCGCCCCCUGCCAGUGAGGAGGACUUGGACAUGGUCUGCUGUCCCCAGGAUUAGCAUGUAGGGUAUUUAGGGUGAGUGUAAUCUUCCUCUCUGACCCCACUGUAUGUGGGCCACUUCCAACUGCCCUCAGUACCUCUCCUCUGCUGGAAACCAAGCCUGCUCAUGUGGGGUCCUGGACCCCUCCUCCCACAUAGAUCCAGAUCCUUUACACCAGAGGAAACUGAGCACUGUGGGAUGAUUCUGGCAGCCCAUCUGAUGCAGAGAGCCCUCGGCUGCCUGGAAGCCCCUGAAGUCUGCCACAUCUUACCCCUGACAUUGUACCAUUGGCUAUAGGCUCCUGCCAGCCAGAUAUGGUUUAACCCAGCCACUUUGGGCUUAGCAAACAGCCAGCCCCUCACCCUCACCCCAUUGGACACCAGCCCUGCUCCCUCUCCUCCACCUUCUGGGAGCACCCAGCAAAACCCAGCCCUAACUCAACUCAUUUGUGACAAGGCACAUCCUCUGACCCAUGUCCACAGAGAAACCUCCAUCUGACAACAAGGAUUCCAGUGGACCAGGCCUAGUGUGAAACCUGCCCUGAUCCACUCUUACCAGAUAGAAUAUCAGGAAGGAAAUUGGAUUAUGAUUAUCGAUACCAUUUAGUGAGCACUUUAUUUGUGCCAAAUACUGUAUGUAGUGCUUUCUCUACAUUAUCUUUUUAUAUCCUCACAAGACCUGUAGGAGAUAAGUAGCUACAGUAACCUCAUGUUACAAAAGAGAAAACUGAGACUCAGAGAGGUUAAACAGUAUGCCUGAAGUCCCACAGCUAAAAAGUGGUGGGGCUGAAAUUCAAAGCUGGGUCUGUCUCAUUCUAAAGCCCUAGCCAAUAAAACCUGUGCACUUCCACUCACAGAUUCUGCACUCAGAGCAAACAGAAUGUUCACAGCUGCUCCUUCCCCAGGCCCCAGGGAAGUGUGAGGAGGACAGCACCCUUCAGUUAUUCCGGGAUUCUCCGGGGAAGCCCUCAAGGCCAGAGGGAAGACAACCCUGAUCACCUGUGCCAAGAACAGUGCCCAGACAGAGUUGUGAGCCUCCAGCUAUGGAAAGUGAGUGUUCACUGGCAAGCACAUACUGAGCACCUGCUGCAUGCACAGCAUUAUCUUAGGCGUGGAGGCAAUGGGAAGAUGACUAGGACAGGGUCUCUGCCCUCAAAUAACUUACUGUCCAGUCUAGUGGGUCAUGGAGACAACUGUUGCCUUAAGGCGGGCUGUGAUGAGGGAUAUAAUCAGUGGAGGCCCAGGAUGAACUCCAGUAGAAACAUGUGAAAGUCAUUGGGGAGGAGGCAGCACUUGAUCUGGGCUUGGAUGAUGAAUAGGCAUUUGAUGGCUAGAAAAUGGCAGAUGUGGGGAUCCAGGAGGAAGGACCAGCAGGAUCAAAGGGAUGGAAGCAGGAAAGAUCAUGUCUUGUUCUUCAAUAAGCAAUAGGGAGCCAUUGGAGGUCUUUGACCAGAGGAAGAACAUUAUGGGAUGGAACAAUGAGAGACUGGAUAUAAAGAAACCAAUGUGGAGGUCUUGUAGUUAAGAGGGAGAAAGUGAGAGCUGGAAACAAGGGAGAAGCUGCAGGACAAGCAAAGCAAGGACAGUUCCAGGAAGCAGUGAGAAGGUAGAAUGAAUGGACUCUACCUGGUGAAUGGCUGAGCUGGAAUGGACAGCAGGAAGGCGAAGAAAAUCCUGAGGCCUUUAGACUCAGGUAUUGGGCUAUGCAAUGGUAAAACAAAUACAGGGACCUAAAUCAGAAAGACAUUUCUCUCUCAGGUAAUGGUCUCUGUGGCUACUCUGCUUCAUGAUGUCAUUCAGGGGCCCAGAUUCUUUCCAUCUUGGAGCUCCUUUGUCCCCUAGGAUAUUGUGCUCAUUCUUGUGAUCAAAUCUGGGCAUAUUCCAGCCACAGAAGGGUAGAGGGAGGAAGAAGCGCACAGUGUCCUUUCAAACAGGUGAGAAAGAAGUUGCUCAUAGUCACGUGGCUACACCCAGCUGCAAGAGAGGCUGUGAAAUGUAGUUUCUGGCUUCAUCUCUAGUCUCUCGUUGUUCCAUGUGCCAGGGGAAAUGGGGGAAUGGAUGAAGUAGAACCCAAGCCUGGGUACCUGGAAGAAAUUCUAGAGGGAGAGCAGGCUUUGGCAGGGAGAUAGACUUUUGUAUGGCUUGAGUUUCUGAUGCCUGCAUUGCGUCAGGGCUGGAGCUGUAAAUUUUUGAAUUGUAUACAGAGAAGAGAAAGCUGAAACCUGGGGUGUGAGUGAUGUGUACCCAAGGAGAAAAAAAACAGAAGAAGAAAGCUAGAGUAAGGGUGGAGGCUGAAACUUAUGAGGAAGGUUUAUGAAGAACAGUCAUUCUGCCAGUUGUAUUUUCCAAUCAUUGGUGCCACCAAUAUAUCCCAUCCCAUAUACUCUUCUCACACUAUGGAGCUGACACUCCUUCCUCGACUGUGGUUGGAGUGGAAGUGAUGCCAUGGGACUUCCAAGGCUAAAUUGUAACCAGUGAAACAGCUUCCUCUGGAAAUGCACACCCCUGGGACCCAGUCACCAUGCUGUGAGGAAGCCAUGCAGCCACAGGACAGGCCAUGUGGGAGUGUUCUGGCCAACAGCCCCAGCUGAAGCCCCAGCCAACAGCAGUGUCAAGUGCCAGCCACAUGAGUGAAUGAGGUUCAGACAACUCCUGGCCCAGGCUUUGGGCCGCCCCAGCUGACCAAAAUGGAGUGGAGCAAGAUGAGCCCUCCCCACUAAGCCUCACCGAAAUUGCCAAUUUGUGAAUAAAAUAAAAGUUGGGCUUGUUUUUAAGCCCCUUGAUUUGAGACUCUUUUUCUUGUAGCAGUAGAUAACUGAGACAGGCCAGUAUCACUUUGCCCAUCCCAAGAGAAUGCUCCCAGCCACACAGAAGAGGGGUGACCUCGGUGACCUUCCUGUGUGUCUCCUGAUUGGCCUUUCUCCAGCCAUAGCAAGUCCCUCUAUCCAUGUUUCUGUUUCUCAGCUCACUGCCUUGCUGGCCUCCGGGUCCCUAAGAUGGCCACCUCUUUGUCCCUCCCCUAGGCUCUGUCCUUGGCGUGGCCCCAUAGAGAACCCCCUUAAAAGGACAUUCCCAGCUCCCCAUCCCUCAUCUAUCUCCAUCUCGAGAAGGGUGGUCUGGUAGCAGAGAACUGGGAGGAUAGCAUGGGGUCUCAGCACCAAGGACAGAAAGGUGUCCGAGUUCCCUUUGAGCACCUUUGUGAGGAACAACAUCAGACUUGGAGAGGCAGAGGGAUGAAGGUCAGCGAGGAAGACUCAAGACCAAUGGGUAGUCCCAGGGGGCUGGGGACAGGGAGGUAGCCAGAGGCAUCACCUCCUGUGGGGACAAGAGACCUCAGAGGAAAACUGGCUCAAGAGGGAAUGUGGCCCCAGUGUGGGGAGUCAGGGUUCCUCAAACUCUGAGCAUGACCCCAACCAGGUGGGGGCUUUGGGGAGGUGCACAGGGCUCCAUGGCCAGAGCAUCAUUUGGGUGCUGGGCCGCAGGGCUACAGGGCUGUGUCCCUGCUAGGGGCCUGGCUGGGUAGCUACCCAGCUAGGGGCUAGGAGUGAGGAUGUGGCAAGGGAGUUGUGUCCAUGUGGCACUUGCCUUGAUGUAAGACUGCUACUUGACCUAUCUCUGAGUGUGGCAUGGGGCUAUCUGUGGGGGCCUGCCUGUGAUGAGGGACAAACUUACUUUUGGACAAGCCCAAGUGACACUCUAUGUGUUUAUGAGUGUGUGCUGGUGCCUGUGUGAGUCCAUAUGGGAAAGUGUGUACGAGUGUGUGUGUGUUUGUGAAUUUGUAUGUGAUCAUAUAUCUGAGUUCAUGAGUUUAUGUGUGUGGUGUGAGUCUGUGUGUGCAUGUGUGAGAUUAUCAGUGUGUGUAUGCGCAUGUGUGUGUGUGUCUGCACCAUCACCAGGAGGGAGGGAGAGAGGGGGGCUGGAAUCCAGGGCCCUCAGUGUUCUCAGACAGGAGCGCCCACCACACAGAGCAGACCGCAUCCCCUGCCCCACACCUCCCAGCACCUGAGCUGAGGCCUGACUUGGGAGCAAGCCCCACAGGCCUUCCAGUUCCCACAGGAGCCAGACUCGUCCUAAACUUCCAUCACAGCUCCAGAGCACCUCCUCCUGGAGCCUCUGAGGUCUCCUAAUCACCUUUGAAGAAUGGACUGAUGACUACACACCCUGAGAGUUCAGCACAAGGACAAGUGUCUGCCAGGGCAAGGGUCUGGCCAUUGAUCAAAUAGCUGGCAUGCUGAUUGACCAAUAGAUCAAUUAAAUAGCCAACAGACUGCCAGACCAAUGACUGAUGGACACAGACUGGCAGCUGCCCUGGUUCAGGACAGGGUUUGUACCUGGUGUCUGUUUAUCCCCACUAACUUAGCACAGGGCUGGCUCAUUCAGGUUCAGUGAAUGGCUGAUCAAUGAACAGAUAGCAAAUGAAAUGGCGGAGUAAGAAGUAUCUGAGCACCUGGCCAAGGGCAGAAGCAUGUGACUGGUUAGUUGAUUUAACUACCGAAGAGCUGAUUGAGUGACUAAGUGACCAGGAGACUGAGCGGCUGAGUCACAAAGUGACUCCAAGAUUGCCUGGGUGAGGGUAUGACUGGGCGGCCCACAGAGCUCAGGAAAUGCUGGGGUCUGAGGGGCAGAGAUUGCAGUCACCAAGACAUGUUCUGGUGGGAUGACCUCUGCCCUGGUCUCCCAGGACCCUGGAGGUCUGAAAAUCCUAGAAAAGAAAGCAGAAGUGGGGGGAAACUCAGGCAAGAGGAGCUGGAGCCUUAGAGGAAGAGGAUUGGACCUGUGGUAGACAUCAGGAGGAAUGGGGGCUGAGGAGCACCCUAGAAUAGAGUUUUCUGCUCAGAAAAUUCUGGUUUUUCCCCAGCCCUAGAUGGAUGGGUGCUCUGUCAAGAGGCUGCAAGGUGUGUGCUGGGAUGGGGAAGAAUCCGUUUGAGAAAAAUCAUGAGGACUCAUGUGUAAAAGCCCAACCUUCUCCCAGGUUACACAAUGAGGACCAUGGGCCCCUCGGGCUUCCAACCCAGUGUCCUGACAUCAAGAGCAAGUCAAGAGCUGCAGCCACAGCUGAACCUUCAACCAGAGAAUCCAGAGCAGUGUGUUAGGAAGCCUAGGGGAAGAAAGGCAGAUAUCAGUAAGAAGGAUGCAGGCUGGACAGUGCUGGUCCUGAAUUGCCCCGGAAGAGAGAGAUCAUGCAUCCCUAGAACAUGAGGUCAGAGGAGGAAGUAAGCUGGACCAGCGGCACCAGCUCCCAGAGAAAGAGGAGGCUCCAUAGGCAGUUCUUACCAAGAGGAUGUCGAUUCCAUUCUCCAAUACCCACUACUGAAUUCUGCAAGGAUUUGGGAGUCUUCUUAAAGAGCUGACCCACGAGAUUCUGAGAGAGCAACCAGAUAAUAUACAGCUUUUGCAGCAGCAUAUUUUGACAGCUUUCCAGAGAAAAGAGAGAAAACCACUUUUGAUCCAGCAGAAUGGGGGACUCAGGUAGAAGACUGCUUCUAGAACAGUCAUGCAUUCGAGGAGCAAGAACCACCUGAGAAAUGUGAUCCUAAACAAGAAAACUCUCCAAUAUCUGGGAAGGAGAAAGAGACACCAGUCACCAUCUUAGACUCUUCUGAGGAAGAUAAGGAAAAAGAAGAGGUUGCUGCUGUCAAAAUCCAGGCUGCCUUCUGGGGACACACAGCCAGAGAGGAGGUAAAGAGAAUGGAAACAGAUAGUCUCCGACAUGAGGAAACAGAGGAAUACAAGUUGAGGACACUGCUUUUACCUCCAGGAAACAUGAAAAAUAAUCCAAAUCCAUCAGCCUUGUUGUUGUUCCCAUUUUUUCCUUAGUAAGGAAGAUUUGAUGUUGUGAAAUAACAUUUGUUGCUGUUGUGAAAAUCUGUCAUGAGCAUUUGUUUAAUUAAACAUACCACUGAAACAUGAAAAAAAAGUAUGACUCCCUCAUACUUUAAGGGAGUAUUUGACUACCACCAUUUUGGCUCAUGGCUGAACUGAAUUAUGGGUUUGUUUAUUAGAAUUAGGUUCUGUAGGCUGGGUGUGGUGGCUCAGGCCUAUAAUCUCAGCACUUUGGGAGGCCAAGGCAAGUGGAUCACUUGAGGUCAAGAGUUCAAGACUAGCCUGGCCAACAUGGUAAAACCCUGUCUCUACCAAAACAAAUACAAAAAUUAGUUGAGCACGGUGGCUUAUGCCUGUAGUCUCAGCUACUCGGGAGGCUUAGAUGGGAGAAUCACUUGAACCCAGGAAGCAGAGGUUGCAGUGAGCAGAGAUUGUGCCCAGCCUGAGCCACCAAGUGAGACCGUCUCAAAAAAAAAAAAAAAAAAAAAAAAAAAAAAGAAUUAGGUUCUGUGGCAAGUGACAGAAAAUGAAAAUAACUCUUUAUCCAUUUGUCCCCCCACUGCACACACACAUAUACACACAAUUGAAAUCUGGAGGCAGCCCAGGAUUGGCAUGGCAAAUUCAUGAAGUUAUCAGAGACUCAAAGUUCUAUUUUGUUGCUCCACUAUCCUCUUCACAUGGUCCAUACUGGUUGCAUGAGUGCCAGCUAUCACAUCUCCCUCUCAGCCAACAGGAAUAAGAAGAGAAAAGUGUACCCCUUCCCUUUAAGAACACAUCCCAGGCCACACACAGUGGCUCAUGCCUGUAAUCCCAGAACUUUGGAAGUUUGAGGUGGGGGAUUCAAAGCUAGGAGCUUGACACCAGCCUGGGCAACAUAGUGAGAUCUCAUCUCUACAAAAAUUACCAAAAAAAAUUAGCCAGGCAUGGUGGCGUGUGCCUGUAGUCCCAGCUACUGGGGAAGUUGAGUACGAGGAUUGCUUAAUCCUGGGAGGUUGAGGCUGCAGUGACCUGUGAUGGCACCACUGCACUUCAGCCUAGACAACAGAGCAAGACCCUGUCUCAAAACAAAACAAAACAAAACAAACAAACAAAAAUUACACACGCACAUCCCAGAAGUUGCCACAACAGUUCCUCUUACAUCUUAUUGGCCAGAAUUCGGUCACAAGACCCAUCUAGCUACAAGAGAGGCUAGAUAAUGUAGUCUUUAUUUUGUUAAAAUCAAUUACAAAUCAGGGUUUCAUUACAGGAAAAAGAAGGAAUGGAGAUUGGAGGGCCUGGAUUUCUUUCCAGGUUGGAGUGAGCGUGUGGGAUUUUCAUAAAGAAACUAUAAUUUCAGCUGCACUGAAUAAUUCCCGCGAAUGCCAUGAUGCAAUUCGAGGUCUGUAUGGCCACUGCCAUAAGGGGAUCAUGAUGGGUUCUUUUUAGUGGGUGCAGGCACUUGAGGGCCAAGUCUGAAGUUCAGACAUAAAAUUGCAUGGAACUUUGAAACAAUAUUACCUCUUCUGCAGAAUUUUCAGGGGCCACAUUUUUUCCCCUUUGUCUCUUGGUAUUUUAGGGACAUUCUGAGCUGAGAUGCAGAGAAGCCACCUUUGCUCUUUGACAUGAUUGCAUUCUAUUUCCAAAGGCGGAAUCUCGAGGAAGCAGUUUCAUAUCCUCUUUGAUUUUGCUCAGUGCAAAACCUUACUAAAGUUUCCACUCAAGACCUGGCCUCAGUGCUUCUCAUUAUUGCUGAUCUUAAAUCCUUCCCAGACAGGGCCCAUUCGGGGUUAUGGGCUUUAAUUCUGGAGUCAGAAGCAAAAAUCCUGAAAAUGUGCCCUCCUCACCCUGAGUCAUUAGAGCCUGCUUCAGUGGCCUAUAGGUACCGUGCUGAGCUCCAGGGCCCCAUUGUCUGGGUUCAAACUCCAGCUCUGUAGCUGGCUGGCUCUGUGACCUUGGGCAUGUUGCUCCCUGAGCCUCAGUUUCCUCAUCUGUAACAUAGGAUGAGAAUAAUGGUCCCAACUUCCCAGGGUUAUGUAACUGGGGAGAACGGGACCUGGAAGGUGGUAAGCGCUCUAAACCUCUUAGGUAUUCCGGAAAUGAAGACAGUCAUUUCAGGCCUGUGUUAAAUCUGCCUCCGCAGUCUUCCAAGGGGUAAGUAGCCCUGCCUUUUCCAUCUCUGUUGUUCUUCCCUCUCCCUCAUGCACUGAAGGGAGAGUCUCUACUGCCAGGUCAGUCUGGGCACAGGUUUGGCAUAGAGUGAGCAGGUCUGGUUCACACACUUCUAUUCUAACCCAUGUUACCAGACACUCUAUUCCUUCCACUUCAGCCACUUCCCACCCAGAGGUGCUGAGCAGGCCAUGCUGUGGGUGUGUGGCGUGCACCCCCUCCCACCCCGCCUGGAAGAAGCACGUGAUGAGGACCCCCUGCCCACCUUGCAUUUGGAUGGCCUCUCUCCUGCAACAAAGAAUCACAGGACAAAAAUGAAAUUUGCGUCCACGCUUCCCUCUGGUUCCUCGAGUGUCACUUUUCUGCAUAUUUAUGAUAAUCAUACCUGCAACAAAAACAGUGACUUCACUGUCUAAAUAAUAAGGUAAUUUGUUACAGCUAAUUACUCAAGGACUUCCUUAAUCUCACUCAAUUAAAAGAUCCAAGAGGAUUCCUUCCCCCUCUCAUUCCAGUGUUCCUGAAGAUCCGCCUAAUGUAUUCUGGAUCACAGAUUAGUGGGGAGCCAAGAACAGUCCGUGCUGGGCAGAACUGCUAAAAUCCAUCCCAGCAACGUGAAGCAGUGAUUUAUUGUGACAUGGAAUGUGGGACAUUUCCCCAGCUUUUGUGAUUGUGGUAAUGAAGCUGUAAACCAAAUAGCAUGAAAUGAGGCAAGGCCUUACAAUUUAAUCAGCUCGUAAACAGAUCUACUGCAUCAAGCAAAUGACAUUAUUAUCCAUCCGAAGUAAAUCAUGCUAAUCUCGGGAGAUAAAAUCAACAUCGUUAAUGGUCACAUGUCAUAUUCAUCAACACUAAACCAUCCCCUUUGACAGAUUAAUCCUAACUACAGCUCCCAGGAUGUAUGGUAAUAGGGCUCGUAGCAUGCAUUUCACUCCGCGCCAGGCUAACCAGCACUCUUAGGCUGCUAUUACAAAUAAUUUUUUUAUUGAUUUACAUAUUUUAAAAUGCAUUUAAGGUGAGGCACCAUUAAAUACCCUGUCACCCGCCCAUAUUUCUUUCCUACAUUCCCAGACUUUAUUAAUAGGAACGGGAGGACAAACACAGUAAGCCUUAUAAAUACUUUGUUUAGGGCACUGUUAGGGGUAAUUAAGAUCGGGACUGGGGUUUGGGGGGUGUGGAGAGGCACAGGUGAGGAACAGACAGGGUGGUAGGAAACAGGGACCUUCUUGUGGUUCAGGAAUAAAGGAAAUUGCAGCUUCUUUUGCUUCCUGUUUUCCCUAGAGGUGCCAGGAAGAAAGAGAAUAAAUUGCCCCCAAAAUCUGCUUGUGGGGCCUUCCCUCUUUCCCUUUCUGUCACAUCCUAUGUCCACCCCAUCAACUCAGCCUUAUGGUGUGUGCAUCUGUGCUUGUGUUCUGGUCCCUGUAUCCUGCCUGCUGACUUCAAACUCCAAAUGUAUUUAUUUAUCACGAGGCUGACCUAGGAUGAAUGCUCCCAGAAAGUGUCCACUAUUCAAAAUGUCACUUCCCCUCAACAGGCCAUGCAUUAUAUUGACAGGCAUACUUUCAGAGGCCUCUGAAUGAUGAGGAUGGAUGGAGGGCUGCCACAGCAGAGGCACUGCUGCCUGGGCUGAGGGAGGGAGGGAGGAGAGAGUGGGUCAUGGAUAAGUGCGGAGUGGGUGGGUACCCAGAUUAUCUACACCCUCCCCCAGGAAGCAUAAGCCAUGGGAGCUGAGGCAGUGACCAGAGAUGCAAUCUGGAGACCACCAGGGCUGUGGUGCUUGGUGGGGAGCAGAUAGUGGCCUACCUUCGCCCAGCCAUCCUUCUGAUGGGCACAUUUGAGGAGCUUCCUGCCCAUCUGUGAAGCCAGUUGGGGAUGGGGGUUGGAAAAGAAGGGGUUGUCCUUUUUCUGAGUGACAGCAAGGAGGGUAGGGGUCUGAUAUGGUUUGGAUCUGUGUCCUCACCCAAAUCUCAUGUUGAAAUGUAAUCCCCAGUGCUGGAGGUGGGGCCUGGUGGGAGGUGAUAGGAUCAUGAGGGUGGUUUCUCAUGGCUUAACACCAUCCUCCCCGGCCUCCCCUGCCUGGUGCUGUCCUCGAGAUAGUGAAUUCUCAUGAGAUCUCACUAUCUCAUGAGACAGUUGUUUAAAAGUGUGUGGAACCUCCCUCCUCUCUCUCUUCCUCCUGUUCUGGCCAUGUAAGAUGUACCUGCUUACCCUUCAACUUCCACCAUGAUCGAAAGUUUC